rnacentral:rRNA from 1 species
UCUACGGGUGGCUGCAGUCGAGAAUCAUUCACAAUGGGGGAAACCCUGAUGGUGCGACGCCGCGUGGGGGAAGAAGGAAUUCGUUCUGUAAACUUCUGUUAUAAAGGAAGAAAGACGGAUGGAGGAAAUGACAUCCGAGUGACGGUACUUUAUGAGAAAGCCACGGCUAACUACGUGCCAGCAGCCGCGGUAAUACGUAGGUGGCAAGCGUUAUCCGGAAUUAUUGGGCGUAAAGAGGGAGCAGGCGGCAGCAAAGGUCUGUGGUGAAAGACUGAAGCUUAACUUCAGUAAGCCAUAGAAACCGGGCAGCUAGAGUGCAGGAGAGGAUCGUGGAAUUCCAUGUGUAGCGGUGAAAUGCGUAGAUAUAUGGAGGAACACCAGUGGCGAAGGCGACGAUCUGGCCUGCAACUGACGCUCAGUCACGAAAGCGUGGGGAGCAAAUAGGAUUAGAUACCCUAGUAGUC